GAUGAACGCUGGCGGCGUGCCUAAUACAUGCAAGUCGAGCGAACAGACGAGGAGCUUGCUCCUCUGACGUUAGCGGCGGACGGGUGAGUAACACGUGGAUAACCUACCUAUAAGACUGGGAUAACUUCGGGAAACCGGAGCUAAUACCGGAUAAUAUAUUGAACCGCAUGGUUCAAUAGUGAAAGACGGUUUUGCUGUCACCUAUAGAUGGAUCCGCGCCGCAUUAGCUAGUUGGUAAGGUAACGGCUUACCAAGGCAACGAUGCGUAGCCGACCUGAGAGGGUGAUCAGCCACACUGGAACUGAGACACGGUCCAGACUCCUACGGGAGGCAGCAGUAGGGAAUCUUCCGCAAAGGGCGAAAGCCUGACGGAGCAACGCCGCGUGAGUGAUGAAGGUCUUCGGAUCGUAAAACUCUGUUAUUAGGGAAGAACAAAUGUGUAAGUAACUAUGCACGUCUUGACGGUACCUAAUCAGAAAGCCACGGCUAACUACGUG
rnacentral:rRNA from 1 species